rnacentral:rRNA from 1 species
GAUGAACGCUGGCGGCGCGCCUAACACAUGCAAGUCGAACGAUUAAAGCACCUUUUAGGUGUGUAUAAAGUGGCGAACGGCUGAGUAACACGUGGGCAACCUGCCCUCCUCUUGGGGAUAGCCUCGGGAAACCGAGGAUAAUACCCGAUACUUCACUUGAGCCGCAUGACUCAAGUGAGAAAGCUUUUGCGGAGAAGGAUGGGCCCGCGGCCUGUUAGCUUGUUGGUGGGGUAGAGGCCUACCAAGGCAAUGAUGGGUAGCUGGGUUGAGAGACCGACCAGCCAGAUUGGGACUGAGACACGGCCCAGACUCCUACGGGAGGCAGCAGUGGGGAAUCUUGCACAAUGGGCGAAAGCCUGAUGCAGCGACGCCGCGUGCGGGACGAAGGCCUUCGGGUUGUAAACCGCUUUCAGCAGGGACGAGGCGUAAGUGACGGUACCUGCAGAAGAAGCCCCGGCUAACUACGUGCCAGCAGCCGCGGUAAUACGUAGGGGGCAAGCGUUAUCCGGAUUCAUUGGGCGUAAAGCGCUCGUAGGCGGUCUGUUAGGUCGGGAGUUAAAUCCGGAGGCUCAACCUCCGUCCGCUCCCGAUACCGGCAGACUUGAGUUUGGUAGGGGAAGGUGGAAUUCCUAGUGUAGCGGUGGAAUGCGCAGAUAUUAGGAAGAACACCAGUGGCGAAGGCGGCCUUCUGGGCCAUAACUGACGCUGAGGAGCGAAAGCUAGGGGAGCAAACAGG